GAAAUGGAGAUGAAAGUUGAGAACUUUGAGGAUUUUGCUUAGGUUGAAGAGGUUUUUGUUAAGUUAAUAUUUUUGAAAGGGGUGAGUGAGAAAUUUUGCUUUACAGUUGGAUAAUCAUUUGACGAUUAGUACAAUGUUAUAAAUGGUUCUUGAUGGAACAGUAUAAAUAGAAUAGUACUUACUGGUAGUAGAAUAACGAGUCUUGAAUUUUUGUAUAUUACUUGUACUAUUUUAAUGAUGUAAGUUUGAGUUGAAGUUUGAGGGAUGAUAAAAAGGCAAAAGGGAAUUAGUGAAAGUCUUUUUCCCUGGUGAAAUACCAUGGCGAGUAUAAGUGAAAAUUUGAUUACAGUGGUGCCUAAAAAGUCGUUGAAAUUCAAAGUUCUAGCUGUAGUUACAGUGAGGAACAAGAACAAGGAAUAUCUGAAGGAGAAAAUUGUGAAACAUUUAGAUGCUUUCACCAAUAAAAAUGGAAGAAAUGUCGCCUUGAAACUCAUCAAAACUGACAUCGACCCAAGUAAGUCACUCUUUUGAUCGAUGAUCCAAUUGUUAUCAAAAUAAUUUCAUUGGCUUCUUCUUUUCGCCUGUCUGGGAGCUACUGUAUAUCUUUGCUUAGUUGUUUUGACCUAAUAAAUAUUUUGUAUUUCGUAUGAACGUUUUUGGUGUUUGACAGGAUGUAGAGUAUUACAACAAAUUAGAAGAUCCAUCUAAUGAUGAAAAUGAUACGUUAGAUCCAAUCAAUAAAAGAAAAUGAAUAGUAUGGAAAUUUGAACGCUCGGUAGGCAUACCCUCUUGUGAUACCAAAGUGCAUUUCAUUUCCAAAAAGUGUUCAGCUGUAGUUUAGCCAACAGAAAGGGACAACUAUGAAAUAUGCUUUCAGAGACCGCCUUAGCUAUGUGGGAUUUUUAUUGAACACAGUUUGAUUUCGUUCUCACUAUGUAUUUUUUUUUUCCUGAGAUUUCCAUUUUCAUAAUGUGCUUGAUAGUUGAUACACAAAUAUGUUCAAGCAGACCCUAUUUGGGCCACUGAAGUAGUCAUUCAUCGAAGUUUUCAAUUUUGCUCUAAUUUUGAUCAUUUAGCUGUGUGGGAAGCCAAAUUGUUUGCGAAUUAUGCCUUCGAUUAUUGUAACUGUUUGGUUAUUAUUUUCAGGUUCGACACUCCGGUUGGAUAAAGUUGUCAUGGUUGUGCGAAGUGAAGUUAGCCGUGUGAAGCCUCAUUGUUUGCCGAUUAGUCGACUAUUGGGAACUUGAUAUAUGAGAGCUUGAGGAGGGAAGCAACUUCUCUUAGAAUCCAGACAAAUGUGCGUAUGAUAUUGCUUGGAAGGCUUACAAAGAGUUGUGGUCCUCUGUUGUUUCAAUUCAGACAUGAUUGCGUGGGAUGGCUGCUUGCAAUUAGUUUUGAUUCAGAAGGCAGACAAAAGCAGCAAUUAUUAUUUAGGUUUAUGGUUGGACAAUAAAUGCUUGAACCAACACUUUGGGUUAAAUUAGGUACUGAGGUGGAUACAAGUAGUGUCGUAUGAAUCGAUAGAGAAACUUUUCAUCAUACAUACUUGGGUUUGUAAAUCAGUACGUGACAUUUGAAAUUUCAUGAAUUUUCAAAGUGAUAUUCUUUGUAUCAA